rnacentral:rRNA from 1 species
AUUGAACGCUGGCGGAAUGCUUUACACAUGCAAGUCGAACGGUAACAGGUCUUCGGAUGCUGACGAGUGGCGAACGGGUGAGUAAUAUAUCGGAACGUGCCCAGUCGUGGGGGAUAACGUAGCGAAAGUUACGCUAAUACCGCAUACGAUCUACGGAUGAAAGCGGGGGAUCGCAAGACCUCGCGCGAUUGGAGCGGCCGAUAUAAGAUUAGGUAGUUGGUGGGGUAAAGGCUCACCAGGCCAACGAUCUGUAGCUGGUCUGAGAGGACGACCAGGCACUCUGGAACAGAGACCCGGUCCAGACUCCUCGGGGAGGCAGCAGUGGGGAAUUUUGGACAAUGGCCGCAAGUCUGAUCCAGCCAUUCCGCGUGCAGGAUGAAGGCCCUCGGGUUGUAAACUGCUUUUGUCCGGAACGAAAAGGUCUCUAUUAAUACUGGGGGCUCAUGACGGUACCGUAAGAAUAAGCACCGGCUAACUACGUGCCAGCCGCCGCGGUAACAC